rnacentral:tRNA from 1 species
UUAAUUGAAGCCAAAGAGAGGCUUAUCACUGUUAAUGAUAGAAAUGAACUUUAAGUUCCAAUUAAG